rnacentral:tRNA from 2 species
GCCCCGGUGGUGUAGUCCGGCCAAGCAUUCCGGCCUUUCGAGCCGGUGACCCGGGUUCAAAUCCCGGCCGGGGCA